CGUCGUGAUGAACAUCCUGAUAGGGACAGCUUAUGCAUCGCAUGUGAUGUUACCAGGGAGAGUAUUUUAGUAGAUGCUUCUCUUCUUCUGAAC
rnacentral:snoRNA from 1 species